rnacentral:rRNA from 1 species
CAUAAGCGGUGGAAAAGAAACUAACAAGGAUUCCUUAGUAACUGCGAGUGAAAAGGGAAGAGCCCAGCGCCGAAGCCGCCGCUCACGAGAUGAGCGGAGGGCAAUGUGGCGUUAAGGGGGAGCCUCUUUGACCAGACGUUUCGUUGAUCGUGCCGCCGAAGCCCGAGUCCCCCUGACCGGGGCCACAGCCCAUGGCGGGUGCAAGGCCUCUUCGGCUUCGUUCGACGGUUCGAAGGUUGCUGGCUCCUUCCUCAGAGUCGGGUUGCUUGAGAGUGCAGCUCUAAGUGGGUGGUAAACUCCACCUAAGGCUAAAUAUUACCAUGAGACCGAUAGCGAACAAGUACCGUGAGGGAAAGUUGCAAAGAACUUUGAAGAGAGAGUUCAAGAGUACGUGAAACCGCUCGGAGGCAAACGGGUGGACCCUCGAAGGUCGAACGGGGGGAUUCAGCGGGUCGGCUCCGCUUUCCAGUUGGUUGAAAAACGGCAACUCGUUGUCGAAUACGGAUUCCCUUUUAGCGAGGGACCGGGCCGACAGGAAAAAGCGGUGGCCGGCUCGUGCACUUCCCCCUUAGUAGGACGCCGCGACCGAUCGGGUCACAUAAAAAAUUUACUGUCUAAAAAGGCGGCCAUGAGGCGAGAUAAACCAUGGGGCAGGUGUCCGUUUCCGUUUAAGGUCUCCUCUCGUACUCUCUUCGGGGGGUGCGUCUGGAAAACCACGGACGGAGUUAUAGCCUCUUCUCGACCCGUGCACCGCCACCCGAUCGACAAAAGGUCACGAUUUCCGUUGACGCGUGCCUCGCGUAAAGCGCUCGCUCUAGUCCUGGGCAGGCUGGACGUGAUCGAGUACAAAGUUCCCAUCUCCCGGAAACGGGGAGGGAAUCCGUCGGACGCCGGUCCAAAAAACCAAAAAGGCGGCCGACGGCUCCACGUCUGCCGCUACGCCCACGGGGAAGCGGACUCUGGCGUAGAGGCUCGCUCGCGGUCGGCGGCGAAUAGGUCNNNNNNNNNNUUGACCCGUCUUGAAACACGGACCAAGGAGUCUAACAUGUGUGCAAGUCGUAGGGUCUGUUUCUUAACCGAAGCUAAACCCGAUGGCGAAAUGAAAGUAAAGGCCGCCGGAUUCGUCUUCUCUCCUUCGGGGGAGUUGACGCAUGAAGGGAUAAUAAACGGCCGAGGCGAGAUCCAUUAAACAAAAAACCGGGCUGAUGUUUUCUUUUAGGCCAUCGUUCCGAGAUCUUCGGGUCUCGGAACGGCCCGGUGGCGCAUCGCCGGCCCGUCUCUGUCGCUGCUCCCGGCUUGCAGCCGUGUUUGUGCGUGACUUUUUUAACCUCUCGGGGUUUUCCAAGUUCGCCUGCGCGGAGGCACGGGAGAAACCAGUUCGACGAGGCGGAGCAAGAGCACACACGUUGGGACCCGAAAGAUGGUGAACUAUGCCCGGGCAGGACGAAGCCAGAGGAAACUCUGGUGGAGGUCCGCAGCGAUUCUGACGUGCAAAUCGAUCGUCGGACCUGGGUAUAGGGGCGAAAGACUAAUCGAACCGUCUANNNNNNNNNNNNNNNNNAAGUUUCCCUCAGGAUAGCUGGCACUCAAAAACUUUAUGCGAAAGCAGUCUCAUCCGGUAAAGCGAAUGAUUAGAGGCAUUGGGGCCGAAACGGCCUCAACCUAUUCUCAAACUUUCAAUGGGUGAGAUGUCCGGCUUGCUCAAAAAAGGGAUGGUCUGUCUCUUGAAGCUCGGACAUAGGAUGCGAGUGCCCAGUGGGCCACUUUUGGUAAGCAGAACUGGCGCUGUGGGAUGAACCAAAAGCCGGGUUACGGCGCCCGAUGCGGACGCUCAUCAGACCCCAUGAAAGGUGUUGGUUGCUAUAGACNNNNNNNNNNNNNNNNNNNNNNNNNNNNNNNNNNNNNNNNNNNNNNNNNNNNNNNNNNNUUUCAUGUGAACAGCAGUUGAACAUGAGUCAGUCGGCCCUAAGGAAUAGGGGAAACCCGUUCCGAAAAGUACCGGAAUUAUUAAUCGAAUUCGUUCGUUUUUUGACCGGUUACUUUACCGAAAGGGAAUCGGGUUAAUAUUCCCGAACCCGGAUGUGGAGAUCGACCCCACGAUCCUCCUUCUCGCUUUCUCCCCGAGUUCCGAUUUCGCAAACUCCCUUCACCGGGAUGAUUCGUUUUCGGCUUCUUGCGGGUGUAAAGACCGGGUCGGAUGCGGUCGUGCGGGUCCGAAGCGGUAACGCGUAACGAACUCGGAGAUUGCCGGCGGGGGCCCCGGGAAGAGUUUUCUUUUCUUUGUAAAGGACGUACUCCCUGGAAUCGGCUCGCCCGGAGAGAGGGAUGUUGUUCCUGUAAAGCACCGCGGCUCUUGCGGUGUCCGGAGCGCUCUCGUCGGCCCUUGAAAAUCCGAGGGAGUGAAGUCAAAGAUUUCCACACCGGACCGUACCCAUAUCCGCAGCAGGUCUCCAAGGUGAACAGCCUCUAGUCGAUAGAACA